rnacentral:rRNA from 1 species
GACGAACCGUGCGAACGUUAUUCGGAAUCACUGGGCUUAAAGCGCGUGUAGGCGGGUGGGAACGUCGGCCACUGAAAGCCCCCGGCUCAACCGGGGAAGGGGUGCCGAAACGGCCCGCCUGGAGGGGCGUAGGGGGACCUGGAACUUCCGGUGGAGCGGUGAAAUGCGUUGAGAUCGGAAGGAACGCCCGUGGCGAAAGCGAGGUCCUGGACGUCAUCUGACGCUGAGACGCGAAAGCCAGGGGAGCGAACGGG